rnacentral:rRNA from 1 species
GACGAACGCUGGCGGCGUGCCUAAUACAUGCAAGUAGGACGCAGAUGCGAACGGGUGAGUAACGCGUAGGUAACUACCUAUUAGUGGGGGAUAACUAUUGGAAACGAUAGCUAAUACCGCAUACUAGUAGAUGGACCUGCGUUGUAUUAGCUAGUAGGUAGGGGAAUGGCCUACCUAGGCAACGAUACAUAGCCUGCCUGGGAGGGUGAACGGCCACACUGGGAAUGAGAAACGGGCCAGACUCCUUCGGGAGGCAGCAGUAGGGAAUCUUCGGAAAUGGGGGGAAAGCCGACCGAGGCACGCCGCGGGAGUGAAGAAGGGUUUCCGGUCGUAAAGCUCUUUUGUUAAGGAAGCGGUACUUAACCAGAAAGGGACGGCUAACUACGUGCCAGCAGCCGCGGUAAUUC